GAUCGUGUUCGAUUAUGGUUGUUGGUGAGGUAAUGGCUCACCAAGCCGAUAAUCGAUAGGGGCCGUGAGAGCGGAAGCCCCGAUAUGGGUACUGAGACAGCGACCCAGGCCUUACGAGGCGCAGCAGGCGCGAAACCUCCACAAUACACGAAAGUGUGAUGGGGUUACCCAAAGUGUUCUAUUAAGAACUGUGGUAGGUGAGUAAUGUUCCCUACUAGAAAGGAGAGGGCAAGGCUGGUGCCAGCCGCCGCGGUAAAACCAGCUCUUCAAGUGGUCGGGAUAAUUAUUGGGCUUAAAGUGUCCGUAGCCGGUUUAGUAAGCUCCUGGUAAAAUCGGGUAGCUUAACUAUCUGCAUGCUAGGAAUACUGCUAUACUAGAGGGCGGGAGAGGUCUGAGGUACUACAGGGGUAGGGGUGAAAUCU
rnacentral:rRNA from 1 species